AGAAAAAGGGUGACUGCGGUGUGACGCUCUGUAACCUUCGCGUUUGAUGCACAAUUAUUCUGUGCUCUGUGAUUGGUACGUUCGAUGCUCCACCACGCAGCUGUCCCAUUAUGCAUAUCCUGUGUGCGCUCUAGCCCCGUCGGGGCCCUGAUGAGUCUGCAACAAACCAUGCAUUACACAUCCAC
rnacentral:snoRNA from 1 species